rnacentral:rRNA from 1 species
UACGUAGGGGGCGAGCGUUGUUCGGAUUCAUUGGGCGUAAAGGGCGCGUAGGCUGCGGGGCAAGUCGGGUGUGAAAUCUCAGAGCUCAACCCUGAAACUGCACUCGAUACUGCUCUGCUUGAGGACUGGAGAGGAGACUGGAAUUCACGGUGUAGCAGUGAAAUGCGUAGAUAUCGUGAGGAAGACCAGUGGCGAAGGCGGGUCUCUGGACAGUUCCUGACGCUGAGGCGCGAAGGCCAGGGGAGCAAACGGG